rnacentral:rRNA from 1 species
GUGGGGAAUCUUGCGCAAUGGGCGAAAGCCUGACGCAGCCAUGCCGCGUGAAUGAUGAAGGUCUUAGGAUUGUAAAAUUCUUUCACCGGGGACGAUAAUGACGGUACCCGGAGAAGAAGCCCCGGCUAACUUCGUGCCAGCAGCCGCGGUAAUACGAAGGGGGCUAGCGUUGCUCGGAAUUACUGGGCGUAAAGGGCGCGUAGGCGGACAGUUUAGUCAGAGGUGAAAGCCCAGGGCUCAACCUUGGAAUUGCCUUUGAUACUGGCUGUCUUGAGUACGGGAGAGGUGAGUGGAACUCCGAGUGUAGAGGUGAAAUUCGUAGAUAUUCGGAAGAACACCAGUGGCGAAGGCGACUGACUGGACAAGUAUUGACGCUGAGGUGCGAAAGCGUGGGGAGCAAACAGGAUUAGAUACCCGAGUAGUCC